UUAUGAUGAGGGGGGUAAUGGUACCGAAGGAUUAUCUAUUUUCUCAAUGCCUGGCCGACCAUUAGGUAAGGGCGUGAUAGACACAAUGGAUGAUGGCACAAAAGAAAAGGCACAUCGAUAUGUGCUAUUUAAUUGUGAGACAGUCAACAAAUUUAUUGAACAACACCGUAGACUUGUUUCCAUACAAAAUCCACGUCUUCGUGAAAUGGCCAUUGAUCGCAUUCAUAGUGAAACAUUUCCAACAUGGUUUGAUAAACAUGUUGAGGAAUUGCAUAAUGCAGGGGAUAGUCAAAUAACUGAAAA